rnacentral:rRNA from 1 species
UACGGAGGAUGCAAGCGUUAUCCGGAAUGAUUGGGCGUAAAGCGUCCGCAGGUGGCAGUUCAAGUCUGCUGUCAAAGACCGGGGCUUAACUUCGGAAAGGCAGUGGAAACUGAACAGCUAGAGUAUGGUAGGGGCAGAGGGAAUUCCUGGUGUAGCGGUGAAAUGCGUAGAGAUCGGGAGGAACAUCUGUGGCGAAGGCGACUGCCUGGACCAGCACUGACACUGAGGCACGAAAGCGUGGGGAGCAAACAGG